rfam:Triticum urartu cultivar G1812 contig22497, whole genome shotgun sequence.
UAAGUACUCCCUCCGUCUCAAAAUUCUUGUCUUAGAUUUGUCUAAAUACGGAUGUAUCAAGUCUCGUUUUAGUAUUAGAUACAUCCAUAUGUAGACAAAUGAUACAUCCGUAUCUAGACAAAUCUAAGACAAGAAUUUUGGGGCGGAGGGAGUAGUUG